rnacentral:tRNA from 1 species
GCAAAUAUAGUUUAACACAAACAUUAGAUUGUGAAUCUAAACUUAGAAGUUUAAAUCUUCUUACAUGCU